rnacentral:ncRNA from 1 species
UGGGGACUGUAGGCAGACUCCCCGCUUCAAGACGCCCAUCGGCGUCCAAGUUCUGC